rnacentral:rRNA from 1 species
CGCCGGCAACGGUGAAACUCAAAGGAAUUGACGGGGGCCCGCACAAGCGGAGGAACAUGUGGUUUAAUUCGAUGAUACGCGAGGAACCUUACCCGGGCUUAAAUUGCAUUUGAAUAAUCUGGAAACAGGUUAGCCGCAAGGCAGAUGCGAAGGUGCUGCAUGGUUGUCGUCAGCUCGUGCCGUGAGGUGUCGGCUUAAGUGCCAUAACGAGCGCAACCCUUGUCUAUAGUUACUAACAGGUCAUGCUGAGGACUCUAUGGAGACUGCCAUCGUAAGAUGUGAGGAAGGUGGGGAUGACGUCAAAUCAGCACGGCCCUUACGUCCGGGGCUACACACGUGUUACAAUGGGGGGUACAGAGGGCCGCUACCACGCAAGUGGAUGCCAAUCCCGAAAACCCCUCUCAGUUCGGACUGGAGUCUGCAACCCGACUCCACGAAGCUGGAUUCGCUAGUAAUCGCGCAUCAGCCACGGCGCGGUGAAUACGUUCCCGG